GUCGCUAUAGCUCAGUUGGAUAGAGCGACCGCCUCCUAAGCGGUAGGCCGGAGGUUCGAAUCCUCUUAGCGACG
rnacentral:tRNA from 2 species